GACGAACGCUGGCGGCGUGCCUAAUACAUGCAAGUCGUGCGGACUUUGCGGGAGCUUGCUCCCAAGAAGUUAGCGGCGGACGGGUGAGUAACACGUGGGCAACCUGCCUGACAGACUGGGAUAACAUUCGGAAACGAAUGCUAAUACCGGAUAGGCAGCGAAGAGGCAUCUCUUUGCUGGGAAAGGCGCUACGGCGUCACUGUCAGAUGGGCCCGCGGCGCAUUAGCUAGUUGGUGAGGUAACGGCUCACCAAGGCGACGACGAGUAGCCGACCUGAGAGGGUGACCGGCCACACUGAGACUGAGACACGGCCCAGACUCCUAUGGGAGGCAGCAGUAGGGAAUCUUCCACAAUGGGCGAAAGCCUGAUGGAGCAACGCCGCGUGAGUGAUGAAGGCCUUCGGGUUGUAAAACUCUGUCUUCUGGGACGAACGGCCAAGAGAGGGAAUGCUCUUGGAUUGACGGUACCAGAGGAGGAAGCCACGGCUAACUACGUGCCAGCCGCCGCGGUAA
rnacentral:rRNA from 1 species